rnacentral:lncRNA from 1 species
AGGUGGGGAAGGCAUUGGUGCAAAUGUGAGUAUUGAUUUUUCCACACCGGAAGCUGUUGAUUCAGUAAUGACCAAUUGACUGCAUUUAUUGAUAAUGAUUUUUGCAGUUUUUGAAUGUUGAAUAUAUUUUAAAGAAUUUGAGUUAAUAUGCUGUUUGAUGAAUUGAUAUUCUAUGUAUUUCAUGACAUUAUUCUACCAUUAAAUUUAAAGUAUAACUCAUUAAAACUUUUGUGUCAUAAAUAAAAGAGGCUAUUUAUAGUUACCGAUCAUCUUAUAAAUAAAAGGUUUAACUUUCUGAAAUUUAGAGUUUUCCAUUUU